rnacentral:rRNA from 1 species
UGGGGAAUUUUGGACAAUGGGGGCAACCCUGAUCCAGCCAUUCCGCGUGAGUGAAGAAGGCCUUCGGGUUGCAAAGCUCUUUUGUCCGGAACGAAACGGUUAGCGUGAAUAUCGCUGACUACUGACGGUACCGGAAGAAUAAGCACCGGCUAACUCUGUGCCAGCAGCCGCGGUAAUACGGAGGGGGUUAGCGUUGUUCGGAAUUACUGGGCGUAAAGCGCGCGUAGGCGGAUUAGAAAGUUAGGGGUGAAAUCCCAGGGCUCAACCCUGGAACUGCCUCUAAAACUCCUAGUCUUGAGGUCGAGAGAGGUGAGUGGAAUUCCGAGUGUAGAGGUGAAAUUCGUAGAUAUUCGGAGGAACACCAGUGGCGAAGGCGGCUCACUGGCUCGAUACUGACGCUGAGGUGCGAAAGCGUGGGGAGCAAACAGGAUUAGAUACCC